rnacentral:lncRNA from 1 species
GCUAUUUCAAAGAAGAAGGACUUUGAAGUGUUGAGGUAGGAGCCUGUAUCAUCUCUUUGCUGGUUUGCAGUUGCUGUGUUCCACCAGCAAGUAGCAAUUGGGACUAAAUUACCAGCAUUCAAGGAAUGUGCUCACAUAUUUCAGAGCUGUUGAGAAACAUUUGGCUGGACAAAGUCGAGUUCAAACAAGUUAUAAACCAAACCAGGGUUUGGUUUAGGACAUCCCCCCAGAGUGAGUUCCUUGGUGCCGCACCUCGGCUGGCGGGGUGGGCAGGGAGUGUUGUAUUAGUUUUAGCUUCCAGAGCCAAUCAUAGUUUCACCAUCUGCCUCUCCCACACCCCUGGCAGGCAGGCUGAGGACAGCACCCACUUAAUGGUACCUAGCCCAUUAUAAAUGCAAACCUUUUUAUUUCCUUGUAAAUAAAUCUCUGCUUCUUU